ensembl:lncRNA
AUGGCAUCUCCCCCUGCACGGCCCCUGCUUUACCUAGUAGCGUGACCAUGAAGCAAUGCACGAGCAGAGAGAUCUCAACAUGCACAGAGUCAGUCUGCUGCUCAUCUCACCAGCGGGAGCGCGUACAGCGUGCACUUAAAGAAAAAAUAUCUGAUUCCCAUCAGCCACAUGCUUCUUUCAACCCCACAGCGCGUCUUUAUUCAUUCGGGAUUCCUUUAAAUGUUCAGAAGAAGCCACUGGAGACCUUCCUGUUCCCUUUUCCCAGCAGCUACUUGUUAAAGCUUCCAGCAACCAGCUGCACUUCAUGGCGAUAGAUAAAGAAAACCCCAUGCGCAAGGAGUUAAUAAGUCAAACAAAGGCAUAUGACUUCCAUAACUUCAUCGCUCAUUAACCGCUGAUGGUAGGACACAAUUGAGCGAGUGUUUGUGGAACUUGCCCUAGAUAUUCAGAUCUCAGUCCUUGGCUCUGGCUGUUGGGCAGAUCUUCUCCUGUUUCAGAUAUCUUCACCCUGCCUGACAACAGACCGUCAGGAGCUUCACAUGAGAGUCCCGUGUAAGGAGUGAACUAUGGGAGAGAAAGGCCAGUUAUGUCCAUUUAAAUCCCUUAACAAGCACCACAGCAAACAAAAGACAGAUUAGCAUGAUUUACCAUGACCGUAUUAUUAAAUUACCUCAUCUACACAUGAGCCAACAAUUGAGUUACUUUUAUAGAUGUGUGCAGACGGUAUUAUGCAGGCACUGUGUAGGCUAUUCUUUGUUCAUUAAUGGUUUGGUAAACCACAUUUUGUAAGGUCUUGAAUAGAGCUAGCACUGGUUAGACCCAAAAAUUGCACAUUCAGAGGUAUCUUUCAAAACCAAUAUUCCCUAUUAGCAUUAAAGCUAUGCAUGCUAGACAUUGUCUGGGUUUGACUGGGAUGGGAUCUCGUUUAAAAAGCAAUGCAUUUAUAAAAUAUAUUGAUUAUAUUAUGUUGUAUAUUUUAAAAUAACGCUGAUAACUCUCAAACAAUAAAGUGAAAACGAUCAAAAUCCUAUUGUUGUCUGUGGUUCGUGUGUAAAUAUGAACUGAUGGUAUAAUGCCACCUAGUGGUAUAUUUCAUGCAACCAGCAGCCCGAU